rnacentral:rRNA from 1 species
UAGGGAAUCUUCCACAAUGGACGCAAGUCUGAUGGAGCAACGCCGCGUGAGUGAAGAAGGUUUUCGGAUCGUAAAGCUCUGUUGUUGUGAAGAAGGAUAGAGGCAGUAACUGGUCUUUAUUUGACGGUAAUCAACCAGAAAGUCACGGCUAACUACGUGCCAGCAGCCGCGGUAAUACGUAGGUGGCAAGCGUUGUCCGGAUUUAUUGGGCGUAAAGCGAGCGCAGGCGGAAUGAUAAGUCUGAUGUGAAAGCCCACGGCUCAACCGUGGAACUGCAUCGGAAACUGUCAUUCUUGAGUGCAGAAGAGGAGAGUGGAAUUCCAUGUGUAGCGGUGGAAUGCGUAGAUAUAUGGAAGAACACCAGUGGCGAAGGCGGCUCUCUGGUCUGCAACUGACGCUGAGGCUCGAAAGCAUGGGUAGCGAACAGG